rnacentral:rRNA from 1 species
UACGGAGGGUGCGAGCGUUACCCGGAUUUACUGGGUGUAAAGGGCGUGUAGGCGGUCCCUCAAGUCCGAUGCUAAAGACCGAAGCUCAACUUCGGGGGUGCGUUGGAUACUGUGAGGCUAGACGGUCGGAGGGGGUAGCGGAAUUUCCGGAGUAGCGGUGAAAUGCGCAGAUACCGGAAGGAACGCCGAUAGCGAAGGCAGCUACCUGGACGAUUGGUGACGAUGAGACGCGAAAGCGUGGGGAGCAAACCGG